UACGGAGGGGGCUAGCGUUGUUCGGAAUUACUGGGCGUAAAGCGCACGUAGGCGGCUUUGUAAGUUAGAGGUGAAAGCCCGGGGCUCAACUCCGGAACUGCCUUUAAGACUGCAUCGCUAGAAUUGUGGAGAGGUGAGUGGAAUUCCGAGUGUAGAGGUGAAAUUCGUAGAUAUUCGGAAGAACACCAGUGGCGAAGGCGACUCACUGGACACAUAUUGACGCUGAGGCGCGACAGCGUGGGGAGCAAACAGG
rnacentral:rRNA from 1 species